rnacentral:rRNA from 1 species
GAUGAACGCUGGCGGCGUGCCUAAUACAUGCAAGUCGAGCGAACGGACGAGAAGCUUGCUUCUCUGAUGUUAGCGGCGGACGGGUGAGUAACACGUGGAUAACCUACCUAUAAGACUGGGAUAACUUCGGGAAACCGGAGCUAAUACCGGAUAAUAUUUUGAACCGCAUGGUUCAAAAGUGAAAGACGGUCUUGCUGUCACUUAUAGAUGGAUCCGCGCUGCAUUAGCUAGUUGGUAAGGUAACGGCUUACCAAGGCAACGAUGCAUAGCCGACCUGAGAGGGUGAUCGGCCACACUGGAACUGAGACACGGUCCAGACUCCUACGGGAGGCAGCAGUAGGGAAUCUUCCGCAAUGGGCGAAAGCCUGACGGAGCAACACCGCGUGAGUGAUGAAGGUCUUCGGAUCGUAAAACUCUGUUAUUAGGGAAGAACAUAUGUGUAAGUAACUGUGCACAUCUUGACGGUACCUAAUCAGAAAGCCGCGGCUAACUACG